rnacentral:rRNA from 1 species
UACGUAGGGUGCAAGCGUUGUCCGGAAUCAUUGGGCGUAAAGCGCGCGUAGGUGGUCAUGUAAGUCCGCUGUGAAAGUCAAGGGCUCAACCUUUGAAAGCCGGUGGAUACUGCAUGACUAGAGUACGGAAGAGGCGAGUGGAAUUCCUGGUGUAGCGGUGGAAUGCGCAGAUAUCAGGAGGAACACCAAUAGCGAAGGCAGCUGCUGGGACGUUACUGACGCUGAGGAGCGAAAGCGUGGGGAGCGAACAGGAUUAGACUACCCGAGUA